UGUAAUUGAAAGUAAGGACCUCCAUCAUUGUUCAAGUUUUUAUAAAUUGUUCCACCCAUCAAUGUAAAAGUAAAAAUAUUAUUAUAAAUGUUAAUACGAAAUACAUUAGCCAGCUGACCGUCUCCAUCUAGCAACUGUAAUAACUCAGUUGGUUUCUCAUGCUAGACUGGUAGUUGAACACUUGAACUUAGCCCUUAGAGCAGCACAAAAAAAAAACCCCAACAACCUAUUUUGUUGUUAGGUGAUGGUGUUGUUCAUGCUCCCACAUAUAUAACAGUAUGGCAGUGGCGACAAACUCAUUCUAUGUAGCCUAUAUUUAGUAUCCUCUUUGUAGCUGCAACAAACAAAAAGUUAUUUAGUGAUAUGUUGUUAUUAAAUAUUUAAAUUAUUUGCGAGGUGUACAAUUAUGCCUUACCAAAAUUUGAUUUUUGAAAAUUAAUCUUAUUACAUGUCCUCCUACUCUCUGUGACAACACCUGUAAGCAAUGCGUCAUAUGCAUAAAAUGAGAUUGCUAAUAAUAAAAAAUAGUAACUGAACUAAAUAAUAAUUUACACCAAUUAUAUUGCACAUACAGCAAGGCUCACAAUUGUUAACAUUACCUUCAAUAAUUCAUGUUAUGUGUAACAUAUCAAGACAUAUGUGAUGCUGUCAAGAUUGAAAGGGCAGGAUGAUAUUAAUUAUACGUACGUACCUGCCUAUAUGAGUGCCCUUACUGAAAUUUAGGCUACCAAGUUUCAUGAUCAUCUAAGUUUACAUAUCUUGAUCAAUGGUCCUUACACAUUAAGAACGAUAUAGCAUAUCCUCAUUUUGAAGUGGAUGGGUGAUUACAACUAUGACUUCAAGCAUAUACUACACAAAUGGCCGGGGAAGAAAAUUUGGAGCAUCUAAAAAUAUUAUCCGCAUUAAAAAGAGAAAGUUGCUAUGUUAAAUUUUAUGAAUAAUUAUAGUGGUCAAAGCAAUGUGGCUGAUAUAUAUGUGAUGGUACACCAAAAAUGACAAAGUAGUAGUUUCAUCUAUUUAAUGGAGAGCCAAUAGGCCACAAUGAGCUAAUUUUAAGGAUCAAACAUAUUAGAUAUACAAUAAUGUUUGAUAGAUAAGUAUCACCAAAGUUGUAAUUAGAAUAUUUCAAGAGUAAAGGAAAAAGAAAAAAGAAAAAAGGAAAGCAAAAAAUAAAAGCCAUAACCUACUGUCACUGUCAUAAAACAACCCCAUGUUAAGCAAGAACAAAAGAAUCAAUAAGCAAUAUAGUAAGAGCAAAUAAUAAGAACUGAGCCAUAAAAUGUUGACAGAGUAUCGUUUAUACUUACAUUUCCCAUGGCAAGUAGUCCUUUAUCAAAGAAGAAAAUGAUUCCCAAAAAGGAGAAAAAACACCAAAUCCUGUCAAUCCUAGCCCAAUCUCUGUUUCAUUACAAAAUGCAAUUUUUAUUUAGUCACCAAAUUUUUGAGAUAAAACCAAGCAUAUCAAUAAAUAAAUAAAGGAAAAAACAGUUCAUAUUGAAGCUUUAGGUAAAGAAAGAAUAGGAAUAGUUUUGGCUUGUGCAAUUCUCAUAUUUAGCAAUGACCUGCAGAUACUGUUAGGCAGAUCUCAUGCAGAUACUCAGACACAAUGGCCUGCAGAUACUCAAUUUAGACACCAAAAAUGUAACCAUACUUCAAUUUAGACUCUCUAAGAAGCAAAAAGUUUGAUAAUGAUGCCCAGUCUUGGCAAGCAGGCAGCAAUGUCACAUUUUUGAAUGAACUCAAAAGGCUUAUCCAAUAAGGUAAGGUGGUUAGUGACACCCCUUAUCCAAUAGCAUAAAAUAUGACCCUCUAUCUGAUAUUGUAGCACCUCGUAUCUUGAAUAGGUCCCACUUACUUUCCUUGAUCUCUGGUAUGCCUCAAAGUAUUACUCUACUCAAAUCUCCUGAACUAACAACACUGUGCUUUACUUACCAGACUGCCACAGAAGAAAGCCACCUAACCUGGCUCUGAUAAAUUCUGGUAAAAAAAGUCAUCCAAAAGGCAAAGCAUGGAAAAGAAGAAACAACCUGAAAGCAUAUAAUAAUAAUAAUAAUAUUCCCACCCAAAGCAGCAUACUGUAACAUUGUAAAAAAAUGAACAUAUCCAGACAAAACCAUGGUUUUCAUAAAUUUUGCUAAUUACAACGCAGUAUUGACCUGGAGAAUAAUACUCCUUCCGUUUCAUAAAAAUAUUUUUAAGUUUCAUUUGUGAACUUUUUUUUUCCCCAUAUAAAGUCCUCUUUUUCCUGAUAGUAGAAUAAAAUGACUCAGCGUUUUUGAGUUUAUCAUCAUAUUUUCGUCAUCAUGCAUCACUACAAAUGGGACUGUUUUUGUGGGACGGAGAGUAAAAAACACUCGCAAUCUAAUGCAGAGAUAUGUGAAGAACAGAGGAUAUUGUUAGAUUAAUACCAGUGAGUCCCCAUGGAGUUGAUGAAGAUGGGAUUGUUCUGACAUAUUUUAAUGUCCCCUUCUUGGCUGCGGAGCCUCGUUAACUGGAAAAACCAUGAGUUGGUCCUUUCUUAGUGCCUAACAGUAUCUGCAGGUCAUUGUGUCUGAGUAUUCAUUGUGUCAGGCCAUUCUUAGUUUUGGCUUCCUAGGAAUAGUUUUGGCCUAACAGUAUCUGCAGGGCAUUGUGCAAUUCUCAUAUUCCUAACUGGACAAAACAUUCUCAUAUUUAGCAAGUCAUCGUCUUAAAGUAAAGUAGAGUUUUUAAAAUCCAAAUAUCAAUACAUUAAAGCAUAAGAAUAUCCUCUAAGUCUUAUUUCAUCAAACACUUAAAAUGCACUAACCAAUCGAAUCAAGUAACAACGCUAUAGGAAUAAUUUUGAAAAAAUUAC
rnacentral:lncRNA from 1 species